UGACUUCCCUUUCGGGCCAGCCGCCUCGC
rnacentral:sRNA from 1 species